AAUACUAACUACCGACCGAUAGUGAACCAGUACCGUGAGGGAAAGGCGAAAAGAACCCCUGUAAGGGGAGUGAAAUAGAACCUGAAACCGUAUGCGUACAAGCAGUGGGAGCAGACUUGUUCUGUGACUGCGUACCUUUUGUAUAAUGGGUCAGCGACUUACUUCUCAGUGGCAAGCUUAACCGUUUAGGGGAGGCGUAGCGAAAGCGAGUCUUAAUAGGGCGUCUUAGUCGCUGGGAGUAGACCCGAAACCGGGCGAUCUAUCCAUGGCCAGGUUGAAGGUGCAGUAACAUGCACUGGAGGACCGAACCGACUUAUGUUGAAAAAUGAGCGGAUGAGCUGUGGAUCGGAGUGAAAGGCUAAUCAAGCCCGGAGAUAGCUGGUUCUCCUCGAAAGCUAUUUAGGUAGCGCCUCGCGUAUCACUGCCGGGGGUAGAGCACUGUUAUGGCUAGGGGGCCAUCCCGGCUUACCAACCCAUUGCAAACUCCGAAUACCGGCAAGUGCAAUCGCGGGAGACACACUACGGGUGCUAACGUCCGUGGUGGAAAGGGAAACAACCCAGACCGCCAGCUAAGGUCCCAAAAUUACAGCUCAGUGGGAAACGAUGUGGGAAGGCUCAGACAGCUAGGAGGUUGGCUUAGAAGCAGCCAUCCUUUAAAGAAAGCGUAAUAGCUCACUAGUCGAGUCGGCCUGCGCGGAAGAUGUAACGGGGCUCAAACUGGUUACCGAAGCUGCGGCUGUGCACGCAAGUGCACGGGGUAGGGGAGCGUUCUGUAAGCCUGCGAAGGUGUGUCGAGAGGCAUGCUGGAGGUAUCAGAAGUGCGAAUGCUGACAUGAGUAACGAUAAUGGGGGUGAAAAACCCCCACGCCGGAAGACCAAGGGUUCCUGCGCAACGCUAAUCGGCGCAGGGUGAGUCGGCCCCUAAGGCGAGACCGAAAGGUGUAGUCGAUGGGAAACGGAUUAAUAUUUCCGUACCUUGGAUAGCUGCGAUGGAGAGACGGAGAAGGCUAGGUGAGCCGGGCGACGGUUGUCCCGGUUUAAGCAUGUAGGCAGUGGGAUUAGGCAAAUCCGGUCCCACAAUGCCGAGACGCGACGACGACUGCCCUUUUAGGGCGGGAAGUCAUUGAUGCCCUGCUUCCAGGAAAAUCUUCUAAGCUUCAGGCUAUUCGAGACCGUACCCCAAACCGACACAGGUGGUCAGGUAGAGAAUACCAAGGCGCUUGAGAGAACUCGGGUAAAGGAACUAGGCAAAAUGGUGCCGUAACUUCGGGAGAAGGCACGCCGGUGGUAUGUGACGCCCUUCGCGGGUUGAGCAGAAGCCGGUCGAAGAUACCAGGCCCCUGCGACUGUUUAUUAAAAACACAGCACUGUGCAAACACGAAAGUGGACGUAUACGGUGUGACGCCUGCCCGGUGCCGGAAGGUUAAUUGAUGGGGUUAGCGCUUGCGCGAAGCUCUUGAUCGAAGCCCCGGUAAACGGCGGCCGUAACUAUAACGGUCCUAAGGUAGCGAAAUUCCUUGUCGGGUAAGUUCCGACCUGCACGAAUGGCGUAACGAUGGGGGCGCUGUCUCUACCCGAGACUCAGUGAAAUUGAAAUCGCCGUGAAGAUGCGGUGUAUCCGCGGCUAGACGGAAAGACCCCGUGAACCUUUACUAUAGCUUCACAGUGAACUUUGAGCAUGUUUGUGUAGGAUAGCUGGGAGGCUUUGAAACCAGGACGCCAGUUCUGGUGGAGCCAACCUUGAAAUACCAGCCUGACCUGUUUGAGGUUCUAACUUCGACCCCUUAUCGGGGUUAAGGACACUGUGUGGUGGGUAGUUUGACUGGGGCGGUCUCCUCCCAAAGCGUAACGGAGGAGCACAAAGGUGGGCUAAGCAUGGUCGGACAUCAUGCGGUUAGUGUAAUGGCACAAGCC
rnacentral:rRNA from 1 species